GAUGAACGCUGGCGGCGUGCCUAAUACAUGCAAGUCGAGCGAACAGAUGAGGAGCUUGCUCCUCUGACGUUAGCGGCGGACGGGUGAGUAACACGUGGAUAACCUACCUAUAAGACUGGGAUAACUUCGGGAAACCGGAGCUAAUACCGGAUAAUAUAUUGAACCGCAUGGUUCAAUAGUGAAAGACGGUUUUGCUGUCACUUAUAGAUGGAUCCGCGCCGCAUUAGCUAGUUUGUAAGGUAACGGCUUACCAAGGCAACCAUGCGUAGCCCACCUGAGAGGGUGAGCGGCCACACUGGAAAUAACACACGGUCCAAACUCCUACGGGAGACAACAAUAGGAAAUCUUCCAAAAUGGGCGAAACCCUGACGGAGAAACGCCGCGGAAGUUAUAAAGUUCUUCGGAUCAUAAAACUCUUUUAUUAGGAAAAAAAAAAUGUUAAAGUAAAUAUCAACUUUUUAACGGUACCAAAUAAAAAAACAACGGAUAACUACGU
rnacentral:rRNA from 1 species